UUCGAGAAAGUGAGGUCCACCGUCCGGCGGUCCAGGCUCGUGGCCGUGGCCAGCGACAGAGGGAGCAGCCGCUGCUGCCGCUGCCUUACUCCGGCGCGCCCAAGCCCUAGCUGAGGCUGGAGUUCCUACUCUGGCAUGCCGUCGUUCCCCUCCUGGACCGAGCAGAUCCAUUGAAGGUGGGGACCUACAGGGUGUGCGGUCGGCUGGGUGCAAUGCUGCUUCGCUGGGAUGCCGGAGGAGGUCGUGCAGGCGCACAUCAAGACGAAAGGCCGAUGCACACUCAUCAGACAUAGAUUCAAGGCACAACACUGUAGAUGAUUUAGUCACGGGAGCUCCUUCCAUGUCGAAGAACACCGUAGAUGCUGGUCCACGUCAAAGGGCAAUUCUCUAUCGAUCCUGAUCUAUUCUUGUGUGAUCCACAAUGGAGUAGAUAGAUAGGAGAAAGGGUGUUGGAGAUUUUGGUGGCAGGCUGUUGAUACGCGGGGAAAAGAAAGGCAGUUUUGCUGAUUUUCUGUAAUUAGAGAUAUACGAUCUGGUGGGUUGUU